rnacentral:rRNA from 1 species
GAUGAACGCUGGCGGCGUGCCUAAUACAUGCAAGUCGAGCGAACAGACGAGGAGCUUGCUCCUUUGACGUUAGCGGCGGACGGGUGAGUAACACGUGGGUAACCUACCUAUAAGACUGGGAUAACUUCGGGAAACCGGAGCUAAUACCGGAUAAUAUUUCGAACCGCAUGGUUCGAUAGUGAAAGAUGGCUUUGCUAUCACUUAUAGAUGGACCUGCGCCGUAUUAGCUAGUUGGUAAGGUAACGGCUUACCAAGGCAACGAUACGUAGCCGACCUGAGAGGGUGAUCGGCCACACUGGAACUGAGACACGGUCCAGACUCCCACGGGAGGCAGCAGUAGGGAAUCUUCCGCAAUGGGCGAAAGCCUGACGGAGCAACGCCGCGUGAGUGAUGAAGGUCUUCGGAUCGUAAAACUCUGUUAUUAGGGAAGAACAAACGUGUAAGUAACUGUGCACGUCUUGACGGUACCUAAUCAGAAAGCCACGGCUAACUACGUG